rnacentral:rRNA from 1 species
CCUACGGGAGGCAGCAGUGAGGAAUAUUGGUCAAUGGACGAGAGUCUGAACCAGCCAAGUAGCGUGAAGGAUGACUGCCCUAUGGGUUGUAAACUUCUUUUAUAUGGGAAUAAAAUGUUCCACGUGUGGGCUUUUGUAUGUACCAUAUGAAUAAGGAUCGGCUAACUCCGUGCCAGCAGCCGCGGUAAUACGGAGGAUCCGAGCGUUAUCCGGAUUUAUUGGGUUUAAAGGGAGCGUAGGUGGAUUGUUAAGUCAGUUGUGAAAGUUUGCGGCUCAACCGUAAAAUUGCAGUUGAAACUGGCAGUCUUGAGUACAGUAGAGGUGGGCGGAAGUCGUGGUGUAGCGGUGAAAUGCUUAGAUAUCACGAAGAACUCCGAUUGCGAAGGCAGCUCACUGGACUGCAACUGACACUGAGGCUCGAAAGUGUGGGUAUCAAACAGGAUUAGAUACCCGAGUAGUC